AAUCCAGUUGAUCCUGCUGGCGGCUGCGGCUCUCUGAUUUGCGCUUAGACAUGCAAGUUAUUUUCCUUAGAAAUAGAGAGAAGGCGAACUGCUCAGUAACACGUAGCUAACUUACCCUUAGACUAAGAAUAACCUCGGGAAACUGAGGCUAAUACUUGAUAGAAGAUAUGCCCUGGAAAGACUUAUCUUUGAACUAAGGAUAGGGCUGCGCCGGAUUAGGUUGUUGGCGGGGUAAUAGCCCACCAAGCCUGUGAUCUGUAAGGGCUCUUAGCGGAGAAGCCCUGAGAGGGAAUCUGAGACACCAUUCCCAGCCCCACGGGGUGCAGCAGUUAGGAAUAAUUUACAAUGCACGCAAGUGUGAUAAUUUGAGUCAGAGUGCGUUUCAUUUGAAACGCUUUUGUGAAAUGUAAAAAGUUUCACGAAUAAGGACUGGGUAAGACUAGUGCCAGCCGCCGCGGUAAUACUAGCGGUCCAAGUCGCAGCCAUUUUUAUUGGGUCUAAAACGUCCGUAGCUUGUUUGAUAAGUUUCUUGUGAAAUUUUGUAUCUUAAAUACAGAGCGUGCAAGAAGUACUGUCAAGCUAGAGACUGGGAGACGUAAGAAGUACGGCCAAAGUAGCGGUUAAAUGUGUUAAUCUUGGUUGGACUUACAAUAGCGAAGGCAUCUUACGAGAACAGUUCUGACAGUCAGGGAUGAAGGCUAGGGGCGCAAAACGGAUUAGAUACCCUGGUAGUCCACGCAGUAAACGUUGUACACUAGGUGUAGCGGGUAUUGACCCCUGCUGUGCCGGAGCUAACGCAUUAAGUGUACCGCCUGGGGAGUACGGUCGCAAGACUAAAACUCAAAGAAAUUGACGGGGGCCCGCACAAGCGGUGGAGCAUGUGGUUUAAUUCGACGCAACGCGAAGAACCUUACCCAGACUUGACAUCCUGAGAAUCUGUUGGAAACAAUAGAGUGCCUUCGGGAGCUCAGAGACAGGUGCUGCAUGGCUGUCGUCAGCUCGUGUCGUGAGAUGUUUGGUUAAGUCCAGCAACGAGCGCAACCCUUGUCUUCAGUUGCCAGCGCGUAAAGGCGGGAACUCUGAAGAGACUGCCCCGGUUAACGGGGAGGAAGGUGGGGAUGACGUCAAGUCCUCAUGGCCCUUAUGUCUGGGGCUACACACGUGCUACAAUGGUAUGUACAACGGGCAGCGAGCCUGCGAAGGUUAGCCAAUCCCUAAAGCAUAUCCCAGUCCGGAUUGGAGUCUGCAACUCGACUCCAUGAAGUUGGAAUCGCUAGUAAUCGUGGAUCAGCAUGCCACGGUGAAUACGUUCCCGGGCCUUGUACACACCGCCCGUCACACCAUGAGAGUUGAUUGUACCCGACGUUACUGGGCUAACCCUUCGGGGGGGCAGGUACCUAAGGUAUGGUUGAUAAUUAGGGUGAAGUCGUAACAAGGU
rnacentral:rRNA from 1 species